rnacentral:rRNA from 1 species
CACCAGCGCCACAAGUGGUCGUCGCGAUUAUUGGGCCUAAAGCGUUCGUAGCCGGUUUGGUAAAUCUCUUGUGAAAUUGUUCGGCUUAACCGGACAGCGUGCAGGGGACACUGCCGAACUCGAGACCGGGAGGGGUCAGAGGUAUUCCGUGGGGACCGGUAAAAUGGGAUAAUCCACGGAGGACCACCGAUGGCGAAGGCAUCUGACCAGAACGGAUCUGACGGUGAGGAACGAAAGCCAGGGGAGCGAACCGG